rnacentral:misc_RNA from 1 species
GAAAUGCGAUAAGUAAUGUGAAUUGCAGAAUUCAGUGAAUCAUCGAAUCUUUGAACGCACCUUGCGCUCCUUGGUAUUCCGAGGAGCAUGCCUGUUUGAGUGUCAUGAAAUUCUCAACCUCUCUAGUUUUUUUGAACUGGUUAGGCUUGGAUUUUGGAAGUUGCUGGCUCACUAUGAAUCAGCUCUUCUUAAAUAUAUUAGCGAAGAUCUUUGCUGCUCAUCAUUGGUAUGAUAAUUAUCUAUAUCAUUGAUAUCCAGUGUCCCUCACGGGAGAGGUCUUGCUUCUAAUAGUCUUUUUAAAGACAAUCUGAUAACUUUUGACCUCAAAUCAGGUAGGACUACCCGCUGAACUUAA